CAAUUACCGUUCGCAACAAUGUUGCAAACGGGUAAUUGGCAAUCAGUGCAGUGUGUGCUUUGUCCUCUGGGUGGCCGCCAUUCGGGAGACGAACACGUGGCGGCGGCCAUCUUAAACUCCCGAAUAGCGGUGUUUUGCCGUAGAGUGUCUGGAACCCAAAUCAGACACUCGGCAAGGCAAACACCGCUGAGACCUCCACACUGCCGUCAAUUGGGCAGACUAGAUGGUUCUUAUCUGCCGUCACAUUCUAUGUUUCUAUGUUUCUAAUUCGUGUCGAAAC